AAAAAUACAUCAAUAAUUUGUUAGGUGUUAAGUGGUUCAUUUAGUGCUCUUCCUACCGGGUGUGAUGUCACUGGUAUCUUGGAGGUCUCCCCCAGAUUCCAGUGCCAUCUUGUUAAUGAGGGUGUUAGUCGAUGUUAAAGGGGAAACUCCCUAGCGGCCAUUUUAGGUAAAUCACAUAGAAAGUUGAAUAAUGCUGAUUAUAGUUAUGUUGAGUAAAUAGGCAUUUUACUAACAUGGAUUGGGUUCAUAUUUUUGUCCACAACAAUUA